AUGGUUCCUUGUCCAAUCCCUUUAGUAUGUUAUGGUUUUCUAUAUUAUCUGGAAUAUGAUAGAUUCAUAAGUAGUGCUCAUUUGUUAAUAGUUUUUGGUAAAUCUGUAUUUGCAGCACAAGAAGGAGGUGGGGUUGGCCAAGUUGAAGAACCAGAAGGGGAGGAACCAACUGAAUACCCCCCACGAGGUCUCUGGAAUGACUUAGGUGGCCAUGUGAGAAAGUACAAAAUGGAAGCCCUACUUCAUAUGCCAUACAAACUUAAUAUCCCAAUGAAUCUGCUUGAAUGGAUAGAUCAUGAUAUGUUUGGAAGUAUAGAGCCCUGUUUCAAGCAUAAGAACAAAGUUAUCAAGAUUACUGAAGAUAUGGUCGACAAAUUUUUUGAUUUCCCUGGUGGCACCGUGCCUUUUGUAUUUAGUAGUGACGAUCCCCAAGUGAAGGCAGAGGUUACAGAGUUAAGGAACAAGUAUCUUGGCCAUCGGAACAAAAUGCCAAUCAACAAAGUAGAGGAGGUGAUGCUUAGUGACGAGACCGAAGAUGGUUUUAUCAAGAGCUUCACUUUUUAUUUCCUAUCAUCUAUUUUGGGCCCUGCGUCAUACUGCUUUGGUAACACCAAGUUCUUGUACUCUCUAAGAGAUGUUUCUGCUAUCCCUUCACUUGACUUUGGGUAA
rnacentral:rRNA from 1 species